CCUACGGGCGGCAGCAGUGAGGAAUAUUGGUCAAUGGACGGAAGUCUGAACCAGCCAUGUCGCGUGCAGGAUGACGGCCCUAUGAGUUGUAAACUGCUUUUGUACAAGGGUAAACCUGAAUACGUGUAUUCAGCUGAAAGUACCGUACGAAUAAGGAUCGGCUAACUCCGUGCCAGCAGCCGCGGUAAUACGGAGGAUCCAAGCGUUAUCCGGAUUUAUUGGGUUUAAAGGGUGCGUAGGCGGAUUGAUAAGUUAGAGGUGAAAUGUCCGAGCUUAACCCGGGAACUGCUGCUAAUACUGUUGGUCUAGAGUGUAGGAGAGGUAGGCGGAAUGUGUGGUGUAGCGGUGAAAUGCUUAGAGAUCAUGCAGAACACCGAUUGCGAAGGCAGCUUACCAGUCUCUAACUGACGUUGAGGCACGAAAGCGUGGGGAGCAAACAGGAUUAGAUACCCGAGUAGUC
rnacentral:rRNA from 1 species